rnacentral:rRNA from 1 species
AUUGAACGCUGGCGGCAUGCCUUACACAUGCAAGUCGAACGGCAGCGCGGGGGCAACCCUGGCGGCGAGUGGCGAACGGGUGAGUAAAAUAUCGGAACGUGCCCUAAAGUGGGGGAUAACGUAGCGAAAGUUACGCUAAUACCGCAUAAGAUCUAAGGAUGAAAGCGGGGGAUCGCAAGACCUCGUGCUUUAGGAGUGGCCGAUAACUGAUUAGCUAGUUGGUGGGGUAAAGGCUCACCAAGGCGACGAUCAGUAGCUGGUCUGAGAGGACGACCAGCCACACUGGGACUGAGACACGGCCCAGACUCCUACGGGAGGCAGCAGUGGGGAAUUUUGGACAAUGGGGGCAACCCUGAUCCAGCAAUGCCGCGUGUGUGAAGAAGGCCUUCGGGUUGUAAAGCACUUUUGUUCGGGACGAAACGGUUUGGGCUAAUACCCUGAGCUAAUGACGGUACCGAAAGAAUAAGCACCGGCUAACUACGUGCCAGCCGCCGCGGUAA